AAGUCGAACGGAAAGGCCCUUCGGGGUACUCGAGUGGCGAACGGGUGAGUAACACGUGGGUGAUCUGCCCUGCACUUUGGGAUAAGCCUGGGAAACUGGGUCUAAUACCGAAUAUGACUGCGCACUUCCUGGUGUGUGGUGGAAAGCUUUUGCGGUGUGGGAUGGGCCCGCGGCCUAUCAGCUUGUUGGUGGGGUAAUGGCCUACCAAGGCGACGACGGGUAGCCGGCCUGAGAGGGUGACCGGCCACACUGGGACUGAGAUACGGCCCAGACUCCUACGGGAGGCAGCAGUGGGGAAUAUUGCACAAUGGGCGCAAGCCUGAUGCAGCGACGCCGCGUGAGGGAUGACGGCCUUCGGGUUGUAAACCUCUUUCAAUAGGGACGAAGCGCAAGUGACGGUACCUAUAGAAGAAGGACCGGCCAACUACGUGCCAGCAGCCGCGGUAAUACGUAGGGUCCGAGCGUUGUCCGGAAUUACUGGGCGUAAAGAGCUCGUAGGUGGUUUGUCGCGUUGUUCGUGAAAACUCACAACUCAAUUGUGGGCGUGCGGGCGAUACGGGCAGACUAGAGUACUGCAGGGGAGACUGGAAUUCCUGGUGUAGCGGUGGAAUGCGCAGAUAUCAGGAGGAACACCGGUGGCGAAGGCGGGUCUCUGGGCAGUAACUGACGCUGAGGAGCGAAAGCGUGGGGAGCGAACAGGAUUAGAUACCCUGGUAGUCCACGCCGUAAACGGUGGGUACUAGGUGUGGGUUCCUUCCUUGGGAUCCGUGCCGUAGCUAACGCAUUAAGUACCCCGCCUGGGGAGUACGGCCGCA
rnacentral:rRNA from 1 species